GUAAGGAUCUCACUAUCUUAAUUUGAUUUAUUGUCCUGUCUGAAACUAAAUCUACACUGUAGUGUACCACGGGUAACCUGACCGGUUACCUCUGCUAUUUCCCUUCCUUCUGCCAUUCAGGAACCCUUACAACAAGCAGGCAUUCAUUUCCCCCCAGUAACUGGAUGAAACACAGUCCUGGAGGUUACAACACUGACUGACUUUGUUUAUUUUGUACACAUAGUUUUUACAGACACAGACCCCUACAUGGGGUCUCCAACACAAACAACAGGGUAGUACGUGGUAGGACAAACGACACUUUCAGUGGUAUACAAUCCCCACUUGCAGGAUAUCCUUCUGGUUUUGGUACGCAGUAGAAUGAUGGUAAAUCACAACUGGAUAACGAUGAGGUAAAUCAUAUGGAAUGACAAAAAAAGCAGCCAAUAGUAUUCUCUAUAUAGAUAGGUAAGUAUCAACAAGGUAAAUAAAAAUAUACUUACAAUAGACCGCUCUUUGUAUCAAGCCUGGGUGGUAUAAUCCCCACCAAGGAUUUCUUAUAUAAAUAUAUGGCUAAAAGGCAGCUAGGGAGGUAGCCA